rnacentral:rRNA from 1 species
AUUGAACGCUGGCGGUAUGCUUAAGACAUGCAAGUCGAACGGUAACAUGGGUAGCUUGCUACCUGAUGACGAGUGGCGGACGGGUGAGUAACACGUGGAAAUCUACCCAGUAGCGGGGGAUAAUUCAGAGAAAUUUGAUCUAAUACCGCAUACGCCCUACGGGGGAAAGGCUUCGGCCACUAUUGGAUGAGUCCGCGUUAGAUUAGCUGGUUGGUGGGGUAAAGGCUCACCAAGGCGACGAUCUAUAGCUGGUCUGAGAGGAUGAUCAGCCACAUUGGGACUGAGACACGGCCCAGACUCCUACGGGAGGCAGCAGUCGGGAAUAUUGGACAAUGGGCGAAAGCCUGAUCCAGCAAUACCGCGUGUGUGAAGAAGGCCUGCGGGUUGUAAAGCACUUUCAGUAGGGAAGAUAAUGACGUUACCUACAGAAGAAGCACCGGCUAACUCCG